CCUGGAUGUCUUCUGCCCUUCCCACCCAGGGUAUGUCCUAGAUUUAACCGGUGGGGUCAAACCACCGCCUCCGCCGCUGCCUUAGCAUGCGCUGCUCAUACCCUACCAUCACGUCAUCGUCACGGCAAGGGCACACGGCUGGGCAGAGGCUGCACAGCAGCCUGGGCCCGUGCCUGCUGCGCUGAAGUCGGCGAGGGGAACGGCGGCUGUGAACCCAAGGUGUGCUAAGGGGCCCUUCCACAAACACCAGCACGGAUCGCCCCAGACCCAGCCCUGAGGGCAAGCCUGCAGGCAAGAAGCCUGGGCUGAUCUCAUAGCUGACGCCGUCUUGAGCAGGAGGCUGGACUAGAGGCUUCCGGAAGGUCCUUCCGAUCGGAAUUAACCAGUGAUCCGGAACAGCCUUGGGUCUGCCCUUUGGGUCAGGCCCAUGUAGCUGCGCAGACACAAUAGCAGGCCAGCAAGAAACUCGCGACAACAUUCGUCCUACUGACCUUUUCCCUUCGCAGGAUGGCCUUAAAACUGGGGAAGGCAGGUCACUAAAGCCUCAUCCAGCUACGUCCCCAGAGCACUGUCCUGUUUCUGGAAGCACCUUCUACCUUAUUAAAAUCCUCUGGGAAAUCAGUCCUCAAUGGUCUGGAGCCAUAGGACACACCUGGUUCCUUCAUCAGCAAUGAGCAGCAGUAACACGACAUGGAGGCUCUUGCAGUGCCCCAUCAGACAAACAAUGCGUAUUAGUAGUUAUCAUCCUGACACAGAGAGCUCUGUGAACUUCACCGCUGCCUCCUUGAGGGCUUCGGUACCUACUCCUGAUCCUAGGUCAGCUCUGCUGCACUUGGUAACCGUGAUGGCAAUGUCUGUGCUCCCAUGGACAGCUCCAUUGCUGCACUCGUAUCUUUGUGGUGUAUUGAUCUGCUGUCUUUAGUCAAUGAGAGUAGAGCCCUGGGACCUCAGGAUUCAAACUAGACUUGCAGCUGCAGCAGAAGUUUUCUGGCAGCAACUCGUUCCCUCUGAGUUACUGUUUAGAGAAAAGUAGCAAAGUAACACUGAGCAAUUUUAGCACAGGCAUUUGGACCACCAGCCGGCUCAUCUUAUUCUCAUAAACUUGUUUGGUCUGUAUUGACAAACCAAAAUAAUCAGGAAAGGCAGAAGCAAGUCUGAGAAACUGAAAAAAAAACAAACCUUUAAGGGAUGGAGGAUGAGGUACCUAUGAUGCAAAGCCAACCCAUCAUACAGAGAUUUCUUUUAAUAAAAAUCUAAAUACAUAAAUCA
rnacentral:lncRNA from 1 species